CCGCCGCAGGAGGCGCCGGUGCUGGGUUCUGAGCGACAGUCCGCCCGCGGAGUCGCUCAAGGCAAGAAGACCCAGAGCCAGCAAGACUGAAACAAAAAGCAAAGGAGCUUUCAAGAACAUGUCUCUGUUCUUGGACCUCCUGGUGGUCUCCCUGACCAGUGCUUUGGCUUGGCGGGUAAAU